rnacentral:rRNA from 1 species
UGGGGAAUAUUGCACAAUGGGCGCAAGCCUGAUGCAGCAACGCCGCGUGAGGGAUGACGGCCUUCGGGUUGUAAACCUCUUUUAGCAGGGAAGAAGCGAAAGUGACGGUACCUGCAGAAAAAGCGCCGGCUAACUACGUGCCAGCAGCCGCGGUAAUACGUAGGGCGCAAGCGUUAUCCGGAAUUAUUGGGCGUAAAGAGCUCGUAGGCGGUUUGUCGCGUCUGCUGUGAAAUCCCGAGGCUCAACCUCGGGUCUGCAGUGGGUACGGGCAGACUAGAGUGCGGUAGGGGAGAUUGGAAUUCCUGGUGUAGCGGUGGAAUGCGCAGAUAUCAGGAGGAACACCGAUGGCGAAGGCAGAUCUCUGGGCCGUAACUGACGCUGAGGAGCGAAAGGGUGGGGAGCAAACAGGCUUAGAUACCCUGGUAGUCCACCCGUAAACGUUGGGAACUAGUUGUGGGGUCCAUUCCACGGAUUCCGUGACGCAGCUAACGCAUUAAGUUCACCGCCUGGGGAGUACGGCCGCAAGGCUAAAACUCAAAUG